CCCUGAGCUGCUUUUCUUGCUGGAAGAUCUCUCCCAGAAGCUGGAGAGUAUGCUGACACCUCCUAUUGCCAGGAGAGUCCCCUUUCUCAAGAACAAAGGAAGCCGGAAUAUUGGAUUCUCACAUCUCCAACAGAGAUCUGCCCAAGAAAUUGUUCAUUGUGUUUUUCAACUGCUGACCCCAAUGUGUAACCACCUGGAGAACAUUCACAACUAUUUUCAGUGUUUAGCUGCUGAGAAUCACGGUGUAGUUGAUGGACCAGCAGUGAAAGUUCAGGAGUACCACAUAAUGUCUUCCUGCUAUCAGAGGCUGCUGCAGAUUUUUCAUGGACUUUUUGCUU
rnacentral:lncRNA from 1 species